UGACCUCAUCUGUGAAAUGGUGGUGAGAGGGGAAGGGACAUUUACAGCCCUUUUCUCCCUCCCUUGCCCACAACUACUGUGCCCCAGCAUGGCACCCGGGUCAGCCCCUGCCAGCUCUGGAGCUGUCAUCAUCUCUCCCUCUUAUGCCUCUUCAGUGGACUGUGGCCAGGCUCCCCUGGACCCUGUCUACCUGCCGGCAGCCCUGGAGCUCCUAGACGCCCCUGAGCACUUCCGUGUGCAGCAGGUGGGCCACUACCCACCUGCCAACUCCUCUCUGAGCUCCCGAUCUGAGACCUUUCUGCUCCUACAGCCCUGGCCCAGGGCCCAGCCACUUCUCCGGGCCUCCUACCCACCUUUUGCCACUCAGCAGGUGGUCCCCCCUCGAGUCACUGAGCCCCACCAACGGCCAGUCCCAUGGGACGUGCGGGCCGUUUCAGUGGAAGCGGCUGUGACUCCAGCAGAGCCCCACGCCCGGGUUCUCUUCCACCUCAAAGGGCAGGAUUGGCCACCAGGGUCUGGCAGCCUGCCCUGUGCCCGGCUCCAUGCCACACACCCUGCAGGCACUGCUCACCAAGCCUGCCGCUUCCAGCCAUCCCUGGGCGCCUGCGUGGUGGAGCUGGAGCUUCCCUCGCACUGGUUCUCACAGGCCUCCACCACACGGGCCGAGCUGGCCUACACGCUUGAGCCUGCAGCUGAGGGCCCUGGGGGCUGUGGCUCCGGCGAGGAGAACGACCCUGGGGAGCAGGCCCUCCCAGUGGGGGGCGUGGAGCUGCGCCCAGCAGACCCCCCGCAGUACCAGGAGGUACCUCUGGACGAGGCUGUGACUCUGCGGGUGCCUGACAUGCCAGUGCGGCCCGGCCAGCUCUUUAGUGCUACCCUCCUGCUUCGGCACAACUUCACAGCCAGCCUCCUGACCCUGCGGAUCAAGGUGAAGAAGGGGCUGCAUGUGACAGCCGCCCGCCCAGCCCAGCCCACACUCUGGACUGCCAAGCUGGACCGCUUCAAGGGCUCCAAGCAUCACACCACCCUCAUCACCUGCCACCGUGCUGGGCUCACAGAGCCAGAUUCCAGUCCCCUUGAACUGUCUGAGUUCCUAUGGGUGGACUUUGUGGUGGAGAAUAGCACUGGUGGGGGCGUAGCGGUCACUCGCCCCGUCACGUGGCAGCUGGAGUACCCAGGCCAGGCCCCUGAAGCAGAGAAGGACAAAAUGGUGUGGGAAAUCCUGGUGUCUGAGCGGGACAUCAGAGCCCUUAUCCCACUGGCCAAGGCUGAGGAGCUGGUGAAUACAGCACCACUGACUGGAGUGCCCCAGCAUGUCCCCGUGCGCCUUGUCACUGUGGACGGCGGGGGGGCCUUGGUGGAGGUGACAGAGCAUGUCGGCUGCGAGUCUGCCAACACACAGGUCCUGCAGGUGUCUGAGGCCUGUGAUGCCGUGUUCGUGGCUGGCAAGGAGAGCCGGGGCGCCCGUGGGGUGCGAGUGGACUUCUGGUGGCGCCGGCUCCGCGCCUCGCUGCGGCUGACCGUGUGGGCCCCGCUGCUACCGCUGCGUAUCGAGCUCACCGACACCACCCUCGAGCAGGUCCGCGGCUGGAGGGUACCUGGCCCUGCUGAAGGGUGAGUGGAGGCCUGAGGAAGCUGGCAGGCCUUGGCGAGUCACACUGGGACGGAGAGGGCGCAGGGGACACAGCCAUGGGCCCAAGUCGGGGUCAGAAAAACUGCCCUGUUGCUUGCAGUUCCUUCUGCCCACCUCCACCCUGGGCCGCCCAGCCAAUGAUCGCUUUCUGUGAAAUUGCUGACCUCCGCAUCCCUCUCCUCCUUCCCUGCCUCACUUCUCCGGUAGCACCCUCCACUUCCUAAUCUACAUCAGUACUGGUUAAUGUUGCCUGUCCAUCCUUUCCACGCUCCUCCCCCGAGAAUGUCAGCCCCUUGAAGCCGCGGUCUGUCUAUGCUGGUCGUACCCUCAGAGCCUAAGAUGACACAGAGCUCAGGAAAUGAACACCCUCGAAGGGGGCUCCCCAAAACCCAGGGAGAGGUGGCCCACGCCUCUGGAAUCUAGCUUCCAGGCCCUUCAGAGAGUGAGCGCCCCCAGGGUCCCCGUAAGAGAGCGUCUCCCCUGCGGUCCACUUGGGAGCAAGAGCAGUGAUCAAGGCACAGCGCCAGUCGGGAGUGGGCUGGGGCGGCUCGCCUGCAGGUGGAAGGGCCUGACCCCAAGAGGGGCGGAUGUCUGCGUUUGAGAAACAGGAGCUGCUGGUGAUUAGGAGCCGCCGGGGACGAGCUGCGGGUCUCCAGCAGCUGGGCCCUGGGCAGGCUGGGGCCGCUCAGCGCUGACGGCCAGUCCCGGCCUCCCCGCCCUGCAGGCCUGCGGAACCCGCUGCAGAGGCGUCAGAUGAGGCCGAGCGGCGCGCCCGCGGCUGCCACCUGCAGUACCAGCGGGCCGGUGUGCGCUUCCUCGCCCCCUUCGCGGCCCACCCGCUGGA
rnacentral:sRNA from 1 species